rnacentral:rRNA from 1 species
CCGCGGUAAUACGGAGGGUGCAAGCGUUAAUCGGAAUCACUGGGCGUAAAGCGCGCGUAGGCCGCUUUGUAAGUCGGACGUGAAAGCCCUCGGCUCAACCGGGGAACUGCGUUCGAUACUGCGAGGCUUGAGUCCUGGAGAGGGUGGCGGAAUUCCGGGUGUAGGAGUGAAAUCCGUAGAUAUCCGGAGGAACACCGGUGGCGAAGGCGGCCACCUGGACAGGUACUGACGCUGAGGCGCGAAAGCGUGGGGAGCAAACAG